UACGAAGGGUGCAAGCGUUAAUCGGAAUUACUGGGCGUAAAGGGUGCGUAGGCGGUUCGUUAAGUCUGUCGUGAAAUCCCCGGGCUCAACCUGGGAAUGGCGAUGGAUACUGGCGAGCUAGAGUGUGUCAGAGGAUGGUGGAAUUCCCGGUGUAGCGGUGAAAUGCGUAGAGAUCGGGAGGAACAUCAGUGGCGAAGGCGGCCAUCUGGGACAAAACUGACGCUGAAGCACGAAAGCGUGGGGAGCAAACAGG
rnacentral:rRNA from 1 species